AGUAAAUAGAUACCCGGGUAGUCCACGCCGUAAACGAUGUCGACUUGGAGGUUGUGCCCUUGAGGCGUGGCUUCCGGAGCUAAACGCGUUAAAGUCGACCGCCUGGGGAGUACGGCCGCAAGGUUAAAACUCAAAUGAAUUGACGGGGGCCCGCACAAGCGGUGGAGCAUGUGGUUUAAUUCAAUGCAACGCGAAGAACCUUACCUACUCUUGACAUCCAGAGAACUUAGCAGAGAUGCUUUGGUGCCUUCGGGAACUCUGAGACAGGUGCUGCAUGGCUGUCGUCAGCUCGUGUUGUGAAAUGUUGGGUUAAGUCCCGCAACGAGCGCAACCCUUAUCCUUUGUUGCCAGCGGUUAGGCCGGGAACUCAAAGGAGACUGCCAGUGAUAAACUGGAGGAAGGUGGGGAUGACGUCAAGUCAUCAUGGCCCUUACGAGUAGGGCUACACACGUGCUACAAUGGCGCAUACAAAGAGAAGCGACCUCGCGAGAGCAAGCGGACCUCAUAAAGUGCGUCGUAGUCCGG
rnacentral:rRNA from 1 species